AUGAACGCUGGCGGCGUGCUUAACACCUGCCAGUCGAACGAUGAAGCCCAGCUUGCUGGGUGGAUUAGUGGCGAACGGGUGAGUAACACGUGAGUAACCUGCCCUUAACUCUGGGAUAAGCCUGGGAAACUGGGUCUAAUACCGGAUAGGAGCGUCCACCGCAUGGUGGGUGUUGGAAAGAUUUAUCGGUUUUGGAUGGACUCGCGGCCUAUCAGCUUGUUGGUGAGGUAAUGGCUCACCAAGGCGACGACGGGUAGCCGGCCUGAGAGGGUGACCGGCCACACUGGGACUGAGACACGGCCCAGACUCCUACGGGAGGCAGCAGUGGGGAAUAUUGCACAAUGGGCGCAAGCCUGAUGCAGCGACGCCGCGUGAGGGAUGACGGCCUUCGGGUUGUAAACCUCUUUCAGUAGGGAAGAAGCGAAAGUGACGGUACCUGCAGAAGAAGCACCGGCUAACUACGUG
rnacentral:rRNA from 1 species